rnacentral:rRNA from 1 species
GUCUGUAUGAAGUUAAAUAGAGUCUAUUCUGCCCAUUGAGUAAAAUCUUAAAAGGCCGCGGUAUACUAACUGUGCAAAGGUAGCAUAAUCAGUAGUUUCUUAAUUGGAGGCUUGUAUGAACGAUUGGAUGAGAGUUAAACUGUCUUUUUUUAAAAAAUUGAAUUUUAUUUUUAAGUGAAAAAGCUUAAAUGAAUCAGAGGGACGAUAAGACCCUAUAAAUCUUUAUGAAUUUUUUUUUCAUUAAGUUAUAAAUAAUUUUGUUAAACUCUUAUGAAAAAAAGUUCAUUGUGCUGGGGCGGUAGAAAUAUAAAAAAACUAUUUUAAAAAAAUUACAAAUAUUUUUGGAAAAGUAAAAGAUCCUAAUUAUAGAUUUAAAGAACAAGUUACUUUAGGGAUAACAGCACAAUUUCUUUUGAGAGUUCAAAUCGAAAAAGAAGUUUGUGACCUCGAUGUUGAAUUAAAAAUUCCUUAUGGUGCAGAAGUUAUAAAGGAAAGUCUGUUCGACUUUUAAAUUUUUACAUGAUUUGAGUUCAGACCGGCGUGAG